rnacentral:lncRNA from 10 species
ACACAGAAGGAUUCUCAGAAACAUGUUUGUGAUGUGUGUACUCAGCUAACAGAGUGGAACCUUUCUUUUUACAGAGCAGCUUUGAUACACUAUUUUUGUAGAAUCUGCAAGUUGAUAUUUGGAUAUUCCCGUUUCCAAUGAAAUCCUUAAAGCUAUCCCAAUAUCCACCUGCAGAUUCUACAAAAAGAGUGUUUCAAAACUGCUCUGUAAAAAGAAUUGUUCAACUCUGUUAGUUGAGGACAUACAUCACAAACAAGUUUCUGAGAAUGCUUCUGUCUACUUUUUAUGGGAAGAUAUUUCCUUUUUCACUGUAGGCGUCAAAGCGCUCAAAAUGUCCACAUCCAGAUACUACAAAAAGAGUGUUUCAAACCGGCUAGAUGAAAGGGAAUGUUCAACUCUGUGACUUGAAUGCAGACAUCAAAAAGCAGUUUCUGAGAAUGCUUCUGUCUAGAUUUUAUAUGAAGAUAUUCCCGUUUCCAACGAAAUCUUCGAAGUUAUCCAAAUAUCCACUUGCAAAUUCUACAAAAAGAGUGUUUCCAAACUGCUGUAUCAAAAGAAAGGUACAGCUCUGUUAGUUGAGGACACACAUCACAAAUAAGUUUCUGAGAAUGCUUCUGUCUACUUUUUAUGGAAAGAUAUUUCCUUUUUCAACAUAGGCCAGAAAGCGCUCAAAAUGUCCACUUCCAGAUACUACAGAAAGAGUGUUUCAAACCUGCUUUAUGAAAGGGAAUGUUCAAACCUGUGACUUAAAAGCAAACAUCACAAAGAAGCUUCUGAGAAUGUUGCUGUCUACUUUUUAUAUAUAAUCCCGUUUCCAACGAAAUCCUCAAAGCCAUCCAAAUAUCCACUUGCAGAUUCCACAAAAAGAGCGUUUCAAAACUGAUCUAUAAAUAGAAAGGUUCAACUCUGUUAGUUGAGUACACACAUCACAAACAAGUUUCUGAGAAUGCUUCUGUCUAGUUUUUAUGGGAAGAUAUUUCCUUUUUCUCCAAAGUCGGCAAAGCGCUCCAAAGAUCCAUUUCCAGAUACAACAAAAAGAGUGUUUCAAACCAGCUCUAUGAAAGGGAAUGUUCAACUCUGUGACUUGAAUGCAGAUAUCACAAAGUACCUCCUGAGAGUGCUUCUGUCUAGAUUUUAUAUGAAGAUAUUCCCGUUUCCAAGGAAAUCGUCAGAGCUAUCCAAAUAUCCACUUGCAGAUUCUGCAAAAAGAGUGUUUCCAAACUGCUGUA